UGAUAGAAUGAAGAUCUUAUUUCUAACCAUCAAUGUAGCACUAAAUGAUAAUAUCACUUUCCUUUAUAGGAAUUUAUUCUAAUAACUUUUAAAAAAUAGUUUACUUUUGAAUCCUUUUUAUUCGUUAAUCCUAGCCCUCUUACUCCCCUUGUGUUGGGGAUGGAUGGCCUUGACUUGUGUUUUUGCUGGCUGUAAUGAAGAUAACAACUCUGUAUACUGGAGUCUUCCGCUUUGGAAAGUACAUUGCUUGGUGUCUAUGCUUAACUUUAGUUUUGAUUAAAUUUUGGAGGAAUGAUGCUUCAAAAUUGACAAAAACAGUUCUGUAUCUCAGUGAAAAUUUUUCAUAUAAAGUUGUGCAAAAUGAUUUCCUUUUCUUUUUCCAAACAAAAUAGUUUUAUUGAUUAUUUAAUCACAUAAUGUACCCCAAUCACACUCAUUUCCCAGUUCUUAUUUUUUUAUUUUUAUUUUUUGGUUUCUCAAGACAGGGUUUUGCUGUAGUUUUAGAGCCUGUCCUGGAACUAACUCUUGUAGACCAGGCUGGCCUCAAACUCACAGAUAUCUGCCUGCCUCUGCUGGGAUUAAAGGCUUGUGCCAUCACCACCCAGCCUACUUCCCAGUUCUCAAGAGGUCUGUCUCCCAGCCUUUGUGACUCCACCCCACCCCCCAUAAUAAACAAGUCCAAUUUCAAUUUUUGUUGUCCAUAUAGUCACUGAAGCAUGGUCAAACUCUAAUUGGCGAGCCUUUUAAAUAAAACUGAAUCAUAAUCCCUUUUCUUAUUUUUCAAGUAACAGUCCUAGCUGUCCUAGAACUCACUUUGUAGACCAGGCUGACCUUGAACUCACAGAAAUCCCCUGCCUCUGCCUCCUAAGUGCUGGGAUUAAAGGCGUGCGCCGCCACCACCCGGCAAUGUCUGCAGUCAUCGAUAUCACUGCAAAAGGUGCUGCCUUGCCCUUUACAGUAAGCGGGAGCAGGAAUCAGAGAGCCAUGUUGAUGUCUGUCGUCUGUACUGCCUUCUGAAGUUGUGUUGAAGUCCAGGGGCUGGCCUGCCACUGGGCACCAUAUUGUUGUCCAUAAGAAAAUGAUUUGUUACUGUUACUCAUUAUUCUGUAGAUAAGGCUAGCUUCAACUCACAGCAGCCCUCCUACUUCAGCCUUAUAGGUUCUAUGUUCACAGGCAUGAGCUACCAUGCUUUGCUAGGAAGACAGUGGUUAGUGGAAAACAAACAAGGUUUGUUACUGAGUGAAGUGGCAGUCAUCUACAAUCCUAGCACUUAGAAGAAGGCAGGAGAACUAAGAACUUAAGGUUGUCUUCAGCUAUGAAGCAAGUUUUAGGCCAGUUUAGACUAUAAAAACCCUGUUAAAAAACAACAAAAAAAGAUUUUCUGUCAUUUUUUUAAAGUAAAAUUGAAACCAGCUCUAGAAACAGUAUAUAGAUUCUUCACAGCUCUGUGGCUCCCUGUAGCAUUCUUUAAUUGGUGAUAAAAAAGAGCACAUACGUGUGUGCCACUGUAUCACUUUCAUGUGUUGAUUUAACAGCAUACUAAAUUAGCAUCCAGUACCACCAGAGGUACUGUGUUAGACAGGUUUAGAAAGUGGGCUGAUUCCAAAGACAAGCCUAUGCCAAGGUAAGAGAAACUUUUUAAAACAUUGCACAGUGA